rnacentral:rRNA from 1 species
GACGAACGCUGGCGGCGUGCUUAACACAUGCAAGUCGAACGAUGAAGCCUAGCUUGCUAGGUGGAUUAGUGGCGAACGGGUGAGUAAUACGUGAGUGACCUACCUUUGACUCUGGGAUAAGCCUGGGAAACUGGGUCUAAUACCGGAUACGACCAAUCUCCGCAUGGGGUGUUGGUGGAAAGCGUUAUGGAGUGGUUUUAGAUGGGCUCACGGCCUAUCAGCUUGUUGGUGAGGUAAUGGCUUACCAAGGCGACGACGGGUAGCCGGCCUGAGAGGGUGACCGGCCACACUGGGACUGAGACACGGCCCAGACUCCUACGGGAGGCAGCAGUGGGGAAUAUUGCACAAUGGGCGCAAGCCUGAUGCAGCGACGCCGCGUGAGGGAUGACGGCCUUCGGGUUGUAAACCUCUGUUAGCAUCGAAGAAGCGAAAGUGACGGUAGUGCAGAGAA